GGACUACACGGGUAUCUAAUCCUGUUUGCUACCCACGCUUUCGCGUCUCAGCGUCAGUAUCCGUCCAGACGGCCGCCUUCGCCACUGGUGUUCCUCCCGAUAUCUACGAAUUUCACCUCUACACCGGGAAUUCCGCCAUCCUCUCCGGUACUCAAGCAAGAUAGUUUCGGGCGCACUUCCUCGGUUGAGCCGAGGGCUUUCACACCCGACAUGCCUUGCCGCCUACACGCGCUUUACGCCCAAUAAUUCCGAACAACGCUUGCACCCUCUGUAUUACCGCGGCGGCUGGCAC
rnacentral:rRNA from 1 species